UUGAAAUAACUCUUGCUCCACGUACUCUAUUCCGAAAUAUUCAAUUCCCCAACGUUUGUUAAAUGUGUACGUAUCGAGAAAAAAUUCAUAUCGAAGUGUCAAGUAGUCCGUUUGAUGCCGUUAAACUCGAAUGAGUAUUUUAAAUAACAAAUAAUCAAUGUAUCUCAGAUUUUUGAAGUAGCUGUUUGGGUAUAGUCGUGUAGAUAGGUCACAUCGUAUAGAUACUCUCAUAUUUUAAUUAGCUUUUCUGUAGGUGCCAGCAAUAU